rnacentral:rRNA from 1 species
GAGUUUGAUCUUGGCUCAGGAUGAACGCUGGCGGCGUGCUUAACACAUGCAAGUCGAGCGAAGCACUAAGACAGAUUUCUUCGGGUUGAAGUCUUUGUGACUGAGCGGCGGACGGGUGAGUAACGCGUGGGUAACCUGCCUCAUACAGGGGGAUAACAGUUAGAAAUGACUGCUAAUACCGCAUAAGCACACGUGAUCGCAUGAUCGAGUGUGAAAAACUCCGGUGGUAUGAGAUGGACCCGCGUCUGAUUAGCUAGUUGGUGGGGUAAUGGCCCACCAAGGCGACGAUCAGUAGCCGGCCUGAGAGGUGAACGGCCACAUUGGGACUGAGACAC